rnacentral:rRNA from 1 species
UACGGAGGGUGCAAGCGUUAUCCGGAAUCACUGGGUUUAAAGGGUGCGUAGGCGGUUUGAUAAGUCAGUUGUGAAAUUCCCCGGCUUAACCGGGUGGACUGCGAUUGAUACUGUUGUUCUUGAAUUCGAUCGAAGUGGGCGGAAUGUGACAUGUAGCGGUGAAAUGCUUAGAUAUGUCACAGAACACCGAUAGCGAAGGCAGCUCACUAGGUCUGGAUUGACGCUCAGGGACGAAAGCGUGGGGAGCAAACAGG